CUCGAGGCGGGCACCGCGAGUCCACAGCAAGUCUCCAGCCCCGCGCCCGCGCAGGUGGGCGAGGCGGGGACGUGAUGGGCGGGGCCUAGAAAGGCGGGGCCUUUGGGGGCGGCCCCGGGGCGGGCCCCGCCGGUGCGAGGGCUGCAGGCGCAGCUCCGGAGCGUCUAAAGCGCGGCGCGGGGCAGGAUCUUGCUGGACCAGGAGCGGCAGCGCAUCCUCCUGCGACUCCGGGGCCAGGCGCCCACUCCAGCGCUUUCUGCGCAGCACAGGCACCCUCGCCUGUCACGCCUCCCUCUCCUCUUCCCGUCUCCCAGCGUGGAUGAGGGCGCUUGCAGAUCCCGGCUGGGGCACUGGCCGCCUAGGCCGAGAUUUCUUUAAAGCCUCAUGGAACACAUCAUUAUUGCUGGAUGCCCGGACACUUAACGCACCUGACAGCAGGCGAAGUGCUCAGAAUGGGACAGGAUGUCACCUGGAAUCAGCACUAAGUGAUUCAGACUGUCCUUACUUUUAAAUGUGCUGUUCUUCAUUUCAAGAUGCCGUUGCAGCUCUGAUAAAUGCAAACUGACAACCUUCAAGGUCACAACGGAGGAAAAAAUCACUGGUGCUUGAAGCAUAGAAGACUGCCCUUCACAACGAAA
rnacentral:lncRNA from 1 species